rnacentral:sRNA from 1 species
GGUUUCCGUUAGCAACCAGAGGCUUCUAAACAACCUACCCUCCUUCCCCGUCUUCUGUGGUCCAACUACCCUCGGCGAUCCCAGGCUUGGCGGGGCAGCGCCUGGCCUCUCCCGUUCCUUUAGGCUGCCGGCUGCCGCCUGUCGCCUGUCGCCAUGGCAGAGUUGGGCCUAAAUGAGCACCAUCAAAAUGAAGUUAUUAAUUAUAUGCGUUUUGCUCGUUCAAAGAGAGGCUUGAGACUCAAAACUGUAGAUUCCUGCUUCCAAGACCUCAAGGAGAGCAGGCUGGUGGAGGAGACCUUCACCAUAGAUGAAGUCUCUGAAGUCCUCAAUGGAUUACAAGCUGUGGUUCAUAGCGAGGUGGAAUCUGAGCUCAUCAACACUGCCUAUACCAAUGUGUUACUUCUGCGACAGCUGUUUGCACAAGCUGAGAAGUGGUAUCUUAAGCUACAGACAGACAUCUCUGAACUUGAAAACCGAGAAUUAUUAGAACAAGUUGCAGAAUUUGAAAAAGCAGAGAUUACAUCUUCAAACAAAAAGCCCAUCUUAGAUGUCACAAAGCCAAAACUUGCUCCACUUAAUGAAGGUGGAACAGCAGAACUCCUAAACAAGGUAAUAUUUUUAUUUUGAGAAAUGGAAAGUCUCUAAUUCUGUCCUGUCAUUGCCUAGGGUAGAGAAACAGAAGUGGAAGGUUUGAUUCAGGUUCUCUGAGGAUAAUUAGUCUAUUACAGUAGUUUUACUUGAUGGUACCCCAUGGGCCAGAAGAGGGCAUACUUAACCUUCUAGAGAGCCUGAAGUAGCUCCUGAUCACAACUUUUCAAGGUAAAGUGAAGA